rnacentral:tRNA from 1 species
GGCAUCGUGGCUGAGCAGUAAAGCGCUUGGCUUUCAAACCAGGGGUCCCGGGUUCAAAUCCUGGUAAAGACU